CCUUAGGCAAAUCCGGGAUCACUUACGCCGAGCACCGAGACGAGUCCUAUGAGGACGAAGUGACUGACACCACGCUUCCAGGAAAAGCCACUAAGCUUCAGCUUAAGAAAAACCGUACCGCAAACCGACACAGGUAGGCAGGGUGAGAAUCCCAAGGCGCUUGAGAGAACUCGGGUGAAGGAACUAGGCAAAAUGGCACCGUAACUUCGGGAGAAGGUGCGCCCUUUGGUGUGGUCACGUGCGUGACUGAGCAUCGAAGGGUCGCAGUAACCUGGCCGCUGCGACUGUUUAUCAAAAACACAGCACUCUGCAAACACGAAAGUGGACGCAUAGGGUGUGACGCCUGCCCGGUGCUGGAAGGUUAAUUGAUGGGGUCAGCCGCAAGGCGAAGCUCUUGAUCGAAGCCCCAGUAAACGGCGGCCGUAACGAUAACGGUCCUAAGGUAGCGAAAUUCCUUGUCGGGUAAGUUCCGACCUGCACGAAUGGCGUAACGACAGCGGCGCUGUCUCCACCCGAGACUCAGUGAAAUUGAAAUCGCUGUGAAGAUGCAGCGUUCCCGCGGCAAGACGGAAAGACCCCGUGAACCUUUACUAUAGCUUUACACUGAACGUUGAGUUCUUCUGUGUAGGAUAGGUGGGAGGCUAUGAAACCAGGACGCUAGUUCUGGUGGAGCCAUCCUUGAAAUACCACCCUGAAGUGCUUGACGUUCUAACCUAGGCCCGUAAUCCGGGUCAGGGACCGUGUAUGGUGGGUAGUUUGACUGGGGCGGUCUCCUCCCAAAGAGUAACGGAGGAGCACGAAGGUACGCUCAGCGCGGUCGGACAUCGCGCACUGUGUGCAAAGGCAUAAGCGUGCUUGACUGCGAGAUCGACGGAUCAAGCAGGUACGAAAGUAGGUCUUAGUGAUCCGGUGGUUCUGUAUGGAAGGGCCAUCGCUCAACGGAUAAAAGGUACUCCGGGGAUAACAGGCUGAUACCGCCCAAGAGUUCAUAUCGACGGCGGUGUUUGGCACCUCGAUGUCGGCUCAUCACAUCCUGGGGCUGUAGCCGGUCCCAAGGGUAUGGCUGUUCGCCAUUUAAAGUGGUACGCGAGCUGGGUUCAGAACGUCGUGAGACAGUUCGGUCCCUAUCUGUCGUGGGCGUUGGAGAUUUGAGGGGGGCUGCUCCUAGUACGAGAGGACCGGAGUGGACGUUCCGCUGGUGUUCGGGUUGUCAUGCCCAUGGCAUUGCCCGGUAGCUACGAACGGAAGUGAUAACCGCUGAAAGCAUCUAAGCGGGAAGCACGCCCCAAGAUGAGAUCUCCCGAGAGCUUGACUCUCCUAAAGGCACCAUCAAGACUAGGUGGUUGAUAGGUCAGGUGUGGAAGCGCAGCAAUGCGUUGAGCUAACUGAUACUAAUGAGCCGUGAGGCUUGACC
rnacentral:rRNA from 1 species